AACUUUCACCAACGGAUCUCUUGGUUCUGGCAUCGAUGAAGAACGCAGCGAAAUGCGAUAAGUAAUGUGAAUUGCAGAAUUCAGUGAAUCAUCGAAUCUUUGAACGCACAUUGCGCCCUUUGGCAUUCCAUAGGGCAUGCCUGUUCGAGCGUUAUUU
rnacentral:rRNA from 1 species